rnacentral:rRNA from 1 species
AGGAUAAACGCUGGCAGCGUGCCUAACACAUGCAAGUCGAACGCGCUUGCUAUCCGCGAGGACGGUGAGCGAGUGGCGGACGGGUGAGGAACACGUGGGUGACCUACCUUUCAGUGAGGGAUACCGGCGAGAAAUUGCCGACAAGACCGCAUACGCUUCUCUUUUCAAGGGGAGAAGGAAAGCUUUUCGCAAGAGAGGCGCUGGGAGAUGGGCCUGCGGCCGAUUAGCUAGCUGGUGGGGUAAUGGCCUACCAGGGCGACGAUCGGUAGCUGGUCUGAGAGGACGAUCAGCCACACUGGGAUUGAGAACGGCCCAGACUCCUACGGGGGGCAGCAGUGAGGAAUUUUCGGCAAUGGGGGCAACCCUGACCGAGCAACGCCGCGUGCAGGACGACGGCCUUCGGGUUGUAAACUGCUUUUCUCUGGGACGAGCAAGGACGGUACCAGAGGAAGAAGCCCGGCUAACUACGCGCCAGCAGCCGCGGU